GGAUCACGGUUCGAUUCCGGAGAGGGAGCCUGAGAAACGGCUACCACAUCCAAGGAAGGCAGCAGGCGCGCAAAUUACCCAAUCCAAACACUGGGAGGUAGUGACGAGAAAUACUGGGGACGCUCCUAGAGAACGUCGUCCGGAAUGAACGUAACAUAAAAAAUUCGAUGAGGAUCUACUGGAGGGCAAGUCUGGUGCCAGCAGCCGCGGUAAUUCCAGCUCCAGUAGUGUAUAUCAACAUUGUUGCGCUUAAAACGCUCGUAGUUGGAUUACAGGACUGCAAACACGGUCGCAUCGCGCGAGAGUGGUCUCAGCACGCCUAUCGACAGCCCAACUGGGGGUCUGGUCCUGCCGGGACGUCAGUGGGUGCCUGUUGGCAGGUAGCUGGACGCGGUCCUUUUGUCGCACUGGUCCCAGGAGGCUCCUUUAAUGGCGUCAAAUGGACACCGGUGGAGUGUGCCUUGAAUAAAGCAUAGUGCUCAAUGCAAGCGUACGCUCGUGUGUAAUAGCAUGGAACGAAUAUUUUUGACCGGUUGCUGGGCGGUUUAACUAUCGUCAGCAACUAGGUUCGAUCAGUGUUGGUUGGAGCCACGGUCUCAACGGUUAAAAGGGACAUCUGAGGGCACUAGUACUUUGUGGCGAGAGGUGAAAUUCUGAGACCCAUAAAAGACUGACUAUUGCGAAAGCAUUUGCCAAGAGUGUUUUCAUUAAUCAAGAACGAAGGUCAGAGGAUCGAAGACGAUCAGAUACCGUCCUAGUUUUGACAGAAAACAAUGCCAGCAUAGGGUCGCGGCGGUCACUUGCCGUUGAUAGCGAGUUGCACUACCGCGGUCCUUAGGGGAAACUUAGCUUUCGGGCUGCUGGGAGAAUAUUGCUGCAAGGCUGAAAUUUAAAGAAAUUGACGGAGAGGCACCACCAGGAGUGGAGCCUGCGGCUUAAUUUGACUCAACACGGGGAAACUCACCAGGUCCAGACAUUGGUAGGAUUGACAGAUUGGUAGGUCUUUCAUGAUUCGGUGAAUGGUGGUGCAUGGCCGUUCUUAGUUGGUGGAGUGAUCUGUCAGGUUUAUUCCGAUAACGAUCGAGACCACGGCCUUUAGUUGGUGGUUAGAUGCGGCACAGCUGUCUGCUGGCAGUUUGUGUGGUGUCUUUUGGCCUAACAAGAGGGACCAUCGGUGAAAAGCCGGAGGAAGCGUGGCAAUAACAGGUCUGUGAUGCCCUUCGAUGUCCUGGGCUGCACGCGCGCUACAAUGGCAGCAGUAGAGAGCAGGCUGGCCAGAGAUGGUCGGCAAAGCUGUAAAUAGCUGUCGUGACAGGGAUUGAGCCUUGCAAUUAUUGCUCAUGAAAGAGGAAUUCCUCGUAAGCACGAGUCAUCAACUUGUGUUGAAUACGUCUCUGCCUCUUGUACACACCGCCCGUCGCUACUACCGAUUGAAUUGUUUCUAAAGCUGGCUGGACCGGACUGUUGCCGUUACUUGUAGCGGUGAUAGCUGG
rnacentral:rRNA from 1 species